rnacentral:rRNA from 1 species
UACGUAGCCGACCUGAGAGGGUGAUCGGCCACACUGGAACUGAGACACGGUCCAGACUCCUACGGGAGGCAGCAGUAGGGAAUCUUCCGCAAUGGGCGAAAGCCUGACGGAGCAACGCCGCGUGAGUGAUGAAGGUCUUCGGAUCGUAAAGCUCUGUUGUUAGGGAAGAACAAAUGUGUAAGUAACUGUGCACAUCUUGACGGUACCUAACCAGAAAGCCACGGCUAACUACGUGCCAGCAGCCGCGGUAAUACGUAGGUGGCAAGCGUUAUCCGGAAUUAUUGGGCGUAAAGCGCGCGUAGGCGGUUUUUUAAGUCUGAUGUGAAAGCCCACGGCUCAACCGUGGAGGGUCAUUGGAAACUGGAAAACUUGAGUGCAGAAGAGGAAAGUGGAAUUCCAUGUGUAGCGGUGAAAUGCGCAGAGAUAUGGAGGAACACCAGUGGCGAAGGCGGCUUUCUGGUCUGUAACUGACGCUGAUGUGCGAAAGCGUGGGGAUCAAACAGGAUUAGAUACCCUGGUAGUCCACGCCGUAAACGAUGAGUGCUAAGUGUUAGGGGGUUUCCGCCCCUUAGUGCUGCAGCUAACGCAUUAAGCACUCCGCCUGGGGAGUACGGUCGCAAGACUGAAACUCAAAGGAAUUGACGGGGACCCGCACAAGCGGUGGAGCAUGUGGUUUAAUUCGAAGCAACGCGAAGAACCUUACCAAAUCUUGACAUCUUUUGACCACUCUAGAGAUAGAGUUUUCCUCUUCGGAGGACAAAAUGACAGGUGGUGCAUGGUUGUCGUCAGCUCGUGUCGUGAGAUGUUGGGUUAAGUCCCGCAACGAGCGCAACCCUUGAGCUUAGUUGCCAUCAUUAAGUUGGGCACUCUAAGUUGACUGCCGGUGACAAACCGGAGGAAGGUGGGGAUGACGUCAAAUCAUCAUGCCCCUUAUGAUUUGGGCUACACACGUGCUACAAUGGACAAUACAAAGGGCAGCGAAACCGCGAGGUCAAGCAAAUCCCAUAAAGUUGUUCUCAGUUCGGAUUGUAGUCUGCAACUCGACUACAUGAAGCUGGAAUCGCUAGUAAUCGUAGAUCAGCAUGCUACGGUGAAUACGUUCCCGGGUCUUGUACACACCGCCCGUCACACCACGAGAGUUUGUAACACCCGAAGCCGGUGGAGUAACCAUUUGGAGCUAGCCGUCGAAGGGUGAGCAAU